rnacentral:lncRNA from 1 species
AUGAGCAGGUGGGCGAUAACCACUUCUCCGACGCAGCUUCUGGGGGAACACCUGUGGAAGCCAGCCAAGCUCCACCUGGCUGGGCCUGCGCUCGCUCGCAGGUGGAGGUGGAGCCCGGCGCCCCAGCCCUGCACGCGACCGCAUGCCCACGCCCGCCAGGAGGCCACCGCGGAUGGUGCUAGAAGAGCAGCCCCUCCCCAGGAGCCCCGGCGAGCACUCCCCCAGACACACCUCCCAGAGCAACCUCAGACACCCCGGGCUCGGACGUGGGGUCCUCCUCCCACGCGUGGCUUGAUUCAGGGGGGAGCUCCCUGGCCCUCCCCCACCCCGCCCAGCGGGUGCGCCCGGUCCUGGGGAGAGCGACACCCCCUCAUUGCUGAGCGAGCCCCACGAGCGCCAGGCCACGGCGGCCUCUGGCCCAGCCUCCAGGUCCCCGAGGCCAGCCCCCCGCGUCCUGGAAGAAAAACCUCAGCACCCAUUCAUGGGCUGCUUUUGUUGAAUGACUUGAGUUUUUCAUUUUCUAAGAAACAGGGACAUAAAUGGCUUGUUGGCAUUUUACCGACGAGGUGUGGGCGAGCGCCUGGAUCCCUCGCAGGCUUGGCGCUGAGCGGGAACCAGGGGCCUGCGGGAGGGAGCAGGCGACACGUGUCAGGGCCUCCAGGGGCACCCCUGCCUGCUGCCUGCCUACCCGCGGGCACGUGCAUACACACACAGGCACACAACACAGACACACAGACACAUACAGAAACACACAGACAGAGAGACGUGCACAGACCACACACACAUACAACACACGCACACAGACGCAGACACACAAUGCAUACAACACACAGACACAGAGACAUACACACAAUACACACAUACACAAUACACAGAGACAUACACAGACCCCACACACACAACACAGAGACACACAUACAUACACGCACAACACAGACACAUACAGAGACAUACACAAACACACCAUACACAGAAACAGACAUGGAGAGACACGCAACACAGAGAGAGACAUACACAGACACAGAAGCACACAGAGACACAGACACAAAACACACAUACAUACAACACAGAGAGAGGCAGACAGACAUACAGACACAAAGGCAGAGACACACAUAA